AUUAUUGAAUACGAUUGGUACUGAUGCUGGCUCUUCACAGAGCAUGUGCUCGUUCCAUCUAUUUAUCUUCUCUUGUGCACAUUUUGUAGUCUUGAAUGAAACCCUUCGCAGUCAAUGCGGUUUGGGAGCUUGGGCGUCAGCCCUGCUCCUGCUUCUUCAAGGCUAUGUUUUCAUAUAUACACUAUAAAGUUACAGAAUGUCUUUUAACGAUUGCGCUUGUCGUAGUCAUUAAACCUUAUACAACUUUCAGCAACGGAUCUCUUGGCUCUCCUAUCGAUGAAGAACGCAGCGAAAUGCGAUAAGUAAUGUGAAUUGCAGAAUUCAGUGAAUCAUCGAAUCUUUGAACGCACCUUGCGCCCUUUGGUAUUCCGAAGGGCAUGCCUGUUUGAGUGUCAUUAAAUUAUCAACCUUGCUCGCUUUUACCGGCUUGAGUUAGGCUUGGAUGUGAGGGCUUGCUGGCUUCCUUCAGUGGAUGGUCUGCUCCCUUUAAAUGCAUUAGUGGGAUCUCUUGUGGACCGUCACUUGGUGUGAUAAUUAUCUACGCCAUCUUGACUUUGAAGCAAAACUUAUGGGAACCCGCUCAUAACCGUCUUCGGACAACCUUUGACAUUUUGACCUCAAAUCAGGUAGGACUACCCGCUGAACUUAAGCAUAUCAAUAAGCGGAGGAAAAGAAACUAACAAGGAUUCCCCUAGUAACUGCGAGUGAAGCGGGAAAAGCUCAAAUUAAAAUCUGGCGGU
rnacentral:rRNA from 1 species